CUGUCCUUCCCCGGUGCCAACCACUCUUAACUCUGAAGAGCACCGCCACCCCACCUGGCGACCCAGGACCCCAACGUCAGGGAUGGGGUCUAUCACCUGUCCCAGGUCACAUCCCGGGGUGGGCUCUUCCUGCUGGCACCCAAGGGAUCCGGGCACUGAGCCCACCCUCGCCCUCUCCCGGAGCAGGACCCCCGCCGCCAUGCACAAACACUACACUGUCCGCUUCAUCAAGGGUGCUCUGCCCCUUCGGACCCCCACCGAGCACUACUUCUUGGACCCGGAGUUGGGGCAGCAAAAAGGGUGCCGUCACCAGUGGUGCCAUGACCCGGCGGCCCUUCGAGCCCACGGGCCCUGUCGGCUGCCCCCACAGGUGUGCUGGCAGCUGGCCUACCACAGCCACCAGGGGGCUGUCAGCGGCUGCCGCCAGGGCCCCCAGCCUGUCUGCUGCCUCCCUCCCCUGACCCCCCCCACCCCGGCCUGCCUUCCUCCCCGUUUGCUCUGCUCCCUGUCUGGGAGGGUGCUGGUCCCUGACCCUAGGCCCCCGAGCAGCUGCCUCUGCUUCGCCUGUCUCGACCCAAAGCUGCCAGGCCAGGCCUGUCCCUGGUGCCUCGCCCCAGGGCUCGCAGGGCUCCGGGCCCUGGCAGUCUCCCUCCACGAACAGCCUGGCUCUGCUUUCUCUCCCCCCGCCCUUCCCGCCCCGCCCCCCCAGCCCAGGGGUCCAGAGAGAACUUGGGGCAGGGGUGUGACAGGCACCAGCUUGCUGGCCAGCUCUGGGGUGGCGGAGAGGGGCAGCAGUAGGGGAGUGGCCUGGGGGCUGGAGAGAACAAUGCAGCAAGGGGAGGGCUCCCUUCACUCAUUCUUUGUUCUUUCGCUCAUCCAUUCCUUCAUUCACCCAUCCAUGCUGUGACUAGGCAUCAGAUGCGCGCAGUGGGUGCCCAGCUCUGGUCGGGGAGGGGGGUGCAGGCUGCGGGGAGCAGGGCCGAGACUGCUGCCCUCACAGAGCUCCCGAUCUACCGGCGGAGAGGGGGGAGGGGAGGAGGGUACAGGAAGCCAGAGCAGUAAGGCUGCUGCACCCACUGAUAAGCACUGAUAAGUCACCCACUGAUAAGCACGUUGGGGGAAAACAAGGCAGGGAGAGGAGGUAAGGGAGCGUCGGGGUCUGCACAUUAAAUAGGGUCAUCAGUCAGGGCCGCCGUUAGGGCAACAUUCGAGCAAAGUAAGUGGCAGCAGGAUGGGCAAAUGCAGACUCGCGGUGGCCUGUUCCCGGGACUGUGAUGAGCUCAGACCGGGCCAUGUGGCUUGGUGGCUGUGCCCCCGGGGCAGGCAGGAGACACAAGGGGCUAACAGGAGCGUGGACCGUGGGCGGUGGAAGCAGGAGUCCAGUGGGAGGUGCUAGUGGGGGGGGUGGGGACACACGGCGGGCUCCCAGGUCUGCCUUGAAAGUAGAGCAACCGCUGAGCAGGGACUUGGGCUCCAGGUCAGGCAGCACCUCGGUCACUGCAGGCUCUGGGUCCUGCCACCCAUUUCACACGCAGCUUCAGAGGCCAGCAAGGUGAGGUCACCCGGCCACCAGGUAGAGCCACCCGGGCCACCCCCUUGGCCCACCUUGCUGGGUCCUCCUCCUGCCCUCUGUGCCUCCAGGCCCGGCGCUGACCGUCCGGGAGGGAGGGAUCCUGCAGCCCCCCAGGCCCCUGGGGAAGCUGGGUGUGAUAUCCCCACCACGCACGGGGAGGCUGGCCCGGUGCUGCCCACAGCUGAACCGCCCCCCUUUCUGGUGUCCCAACUCUAGUCCAAGAAGUAGCACUCAGUGGGGUCCGGGGGGCAGGACGCCCUCAGCCGAGCGGACACUGUGAUGCUGGAGCACGGAGCCAGCCCUUAAACCAGACCAUGGCAUUGACCGAGGGCCCGCCCCAGCCCCAACCCUUUGGCCUCCAUGCUGCCCCGUGUCUCUGCAGCCCCUCUUCAGAGGGAGGGACUGAGCCUCUCAAUAGUCAUGCAGAAGAGGUGGUGAGGCCGGGCCCAAGAAGCCUGCCUGAGCUCAGGGCAGGAUGAGAGGCUGUGGGCAUGGGGUCCCAAAGAGGGAGAGAGGUCAGGGUGAGGGACGGACAGGAAGCUGACAGGAGCCUGGGACUGUCAGGGCCCUUCUGCACUGGAGCCAGGCUAGCAGCGCAGGCAGGAACUGACACAAGAAGCUUCUGGAGCGUGCCAAGAGAUGUCUCAAGCAUCUGAGGGCCUCCAGUCCCAAGAAGGGCCCGUAGGAAUUUUCCAGGGGAACCACGGGCUGGUGACUGAGCCUGGCGAGCUAGGGCCUGGUCAGCCAAAAUCUCUUGGGCCACUGUGCUGGGGUUCGGUGGGGGAGUCUAGCCUCCUAACCUGGGCAUGGUGGAUCUGGGGUCAGCUCCUCCUGGGGUGCUCAGAGGGGCACAUGGGACCCUGGAGAAGGGCGUUGCGUGCCUACUGCCCCAAAAACCUCCAUUGGCAGGUUUGACCUGAGUAACCCCGGGCAGCUGGGGAGAGGGAUGCCGACGAAGGGAGGAACUGGGGGUGGGCUCUCUGGAGGGCAGACGGGAGGAGGGUGGUGCUUGGCCAGCCUCACUGACUCUGUUUCCCCCCCUCCACCCCCUCCCCGGCCCCCAGAUAUCCUGACAGAAGAUGAUGUCUAUUGCAGCUGUCUGGCCAAGACCCUCUGCCACGUACCUGUCCCUGUGACCGUGGGUUUCUAUGCCCCCUUCGGCUGCCGCCUGCACAUGAUGCUGGACAAGAUCACCGGUGAGGCCUCUGUGUAUGUUGGGGGAGGAGGGAGUACGGGAAAUGGAGCCCCUGGUCCCCGCCCGGCCUCGGGCUUCCCCAAGCCCUCUUGCUCCCGGGGCCAGUCGGGCCCCAGUCCAGAUGCCUGUGAAGUUGGUAUUAACCAGGUCCCUCCUGACACCCACAGCCUCUGUCCCCAGGUCCCUGCUCAUUCCCUCUCUGGCCUCCUGGCCACCAGUCCCAUCCCCUCCCCUGCCAGAGCAACUCCAAGGAAUCUUCGUAAGAUACAGCUCUGGUGGGGCACCUGGGUGGCUCAGUUAAGCGUCCGGCUCUUGAUGUCAGCUCAGGUCAUGAUCUUGGGGUCACUCAGCAUGGAGUCUGCUUGGGAUUCUCUCUCUCCCUCUCCUCCCCCUGAUCUCUCUCUCAAAUAAAUAAAUACAUCUUAAAAAAAAAAAAGAUACAGAUCUAGCCCUGUCCUUCCCCUGCUCAUAAAGCCUUCCAUGGCUCCCCAGCACUCUAGGGCAAAAGCCCAGGUUCCUCACUGGCUCCUGCGUAGUCCCCCCUGUGCCCCCCAGACCCAUCUCUUCUCAGCCCUGGCCCAGGGCCUGCCGCCCACAAGACCCCUAACGGAUAGAGGUUAACCAAUCACACCAGCCGAAACGUGGCCAGGAUCCCAAGCAGCUUGGACCUGGUUUAAGCCCCGCUCAGAUCCCAGCCCCGACUGUGGCCAGAGUCAGCCACUCCUCCCUACUAAACAAGCCUCCAUCUGCCCCUGUGUUGUCAGAGAGUGAUAAUAAACAGGGUCCUGGGAGAAAACAUCCGGUUAUAAGGAAAAAGGGAACAGCAUUCUGGAGCUCCUCCUCUGCACUAGGUGACUCUGAUACAUUCCCGCUCAUUCAUUCACUGACCUCGAUAGCAGAUGCGGCCUGCCCCCGACCUCUCAUGAUCCAUCCUUCAGACAUUCCCCCAGCCCUUCCUUGGUGCCCAGGGGACACAGGAUGACCGAAACGACCUUAGCCCUGCCCUUCCUGACCUCACAGGCCAGAGAGGGAGACAGACCUGGCCCCAGAGAGUGAUGACCCAACAGUGGGAAGGGUUGGGGUGGGGGAGCUCAGGAGCACGUGACCCAGCCUGGGGAUCAGGGAGGGCUCCCUGGAGGAGGAGACAAGGAGCUGAGACCCGGAGGAGGAGGAGCAUUAAGCCAGGAAAAUCAGACCAAGGCUGGACUCUGCUGCCCAGCAUUUCGCUUCCUCAGCACCUCGCACGCAUUCUUUCCUUCCCUAGAGCCUUCCUUCCUCGCCCCUUCCCGCCCUCUCUCCCCUGGGAGCUCUGCUUCUGCCCACCGCUGCCCUCUGGCCUCGCCCUCAGGCCCUUCCGCGGUCCCAGCCCCGGUCCAGGGCUCCAGGCCUCCCGUUCCGCACACCCGCGUCGGUGCCUCCCCGUGCCCCGCCGCUCACGCGGUCCCGCGCGCCCUCCCGCCCCUUCCCUCCCCGCAGCGCUGAUGCAGCAGGAGGCGGCGCAGCGCGAGGCCGAGGAGUUGCGGCGCGUGCAGUGGCAGCCGCGGNNNNNNNNNNNNNNNNNNNNNNNNNNNNNNNNNNNNNNNNNNNNNNNNNNNNNNNNNNNNNNNNNNNNNNNNNNNNNNNNNNNNNNNNNNNNNNNNNNNNNNNNNNNNNNNNNNNNNNNNNNNNNNNNNNNNNNGCCCGCGCGCCGGCCCACGGCGCCGCCAGCGGCAGCCUGCUGCGGGUGUUCGGCGGCGCGGCCACCACGC
ensembl:lncRNA